rnacentral:rRNA from 1 species
UACGUAGGAGGCGAGCGUUGUCCGGAUUUACUGGGCGUAAAGGGCGCGCAGGCGGCAUGGCAAGUACGGAGUGAAAUCUCCCUGCUCAACGGGGAGGGUGCUCUGUAAACUGCCAAGCUCGAGGGCGGCAGAGGGGGGUGGAAUUGCUGGUGUAGCGGUGAAAUGCGUAGAGAUCAGCAGGAACACCCGUGGCGAAGGCGGCCCCCUGGACCGUAAAACAUCUCUUUUUGGGAAUGGAGCAAUCCGUUUCCAGAGGAGUAACCUGACGCUGAGGCGCGAAGGCUAGGGGAGCGAACGGG